AUCCCCAACCCCCAACUCCUGCCUUUAAAAACAGGAGCCAAUCCUUCCCAAUAUCCAAUCCUACAAACUUGGUGGUGACUUGGGCAUCACUGAUGGAUAAUUAGGACCUAGAGUAUAAAAUGGCAGAUUGUAGCCGUUCAAAAUCCGGACUUUCUGUUUUAAUUGAGAAGAAUUAGCCUCGAAACAUUUUUUUCCUUGUCACAAUAGGUUUUCCAGUGUCUUGGCAAUAAGGAGUAGCAUUUUAAAUGACCUACAUUUGUGUAGGAAGCCACAUGGUCCAGCCCGGUAGGAUUAGUGAGGGGGGAAGAUAUUCUGGGGUGCUGACUACCCAUCAGGACAAGCAGGCUCCGACUUGGCUUCUCCAGCUCGCCAUCUGGCCAAUGCUGAUUCAUUAGGUAGGUGCCCUUCCUUCUGUUGGAAAGGACAUUUGUUCCCCAUAAUUUGCCACUUUUCCAAGUGGUUAAGGGAAAUUGGAUUUGUUGCAGCGUGCCAGAAGCGAGCAAGACUGGGAACGAGGGCAAGGAUGCCGCAAAAUGGAAAGUCCUCUGGAACCACUGGUGGUGACAUGAGAUGGCACAGCCACUUCAAGAAAGCCUGACAGCUCAUGGGAAGGCACUCUGUCCAGGAGAAUGGGUUAAGGACCUUGGAGCCAGAUGCCCUGAAUACGGCCCAGGCUCCAAUAGGUACUUCCUUGGCUUAACCCAUAAUGUCAAACACAAUCACACAGCACUGCAGCUCGCCCCAGCUCUACUCUCGAUUUGGAGGGUACGGUCAGAGAGGAUGAAGUCAUGGUGCCAGGAGCCUGAGGCAGCUGCUUGCAUUGUAUCCGCAGUGAGGAAGCCGAGAGAGAUGAACCCGAUGAGCAGGUAGCUUCCUCCUUUUCUUACAGUCUGAGACUGAGCCCACGGACACCUGCGUGCAAGAUGGGACUUCCCAGUUCAGUUAACCCAAGUUCUAAGCCAGGCUCUUGGAGAGCUAAAUCCAACGAGCGAGUGUUGGCAGAGCCAUGCUCCCUCUGGAGUGCCUCGAGGACAGUCUGCUUCUAUACCCUUCUCCAGUUCCUUGGGCUGUGUUCCUUGGCCUGUGGCCUUACCUCCACCUUCCAACCCGGCACUGUAGCACCUCCCUUAUUAAAAAGAAAUUAGUAAAAAUGUUAAAAACUAUUAUUUUUAUUUGACGUGUAUGGGUGUUUUUGUCUGCAUGUAUGUCUGUGCACCACAGCAUAUCCGGUGCACACAGAGACCAGAAGAGGAUGUGGGAUCUCCCAGGACUGGAGUUACCGAUGACAGUAAGCCGCCAUGUGGGUGCUGGGAAUUGAACCCAGAUCCUCUGAAAAGAGCAGUCAGUGCUCUUAACCACUGAGCCACAACCCCAGCUGUGGCAUCUUCCUUCUUUAGUCCUAGCCUCUUCUUUUCUAGUUGUGUCCAAUUUCCUUCUGUCUCAUAAGGACAGUAGUGCUCACACUGGCCUGCAGGGAUAACUCACCCGUUCCUUACUUGUGAGCUUCUACAAAGAUCCUCACUCUUUAUCGUGUACCAUGAACGGUCACUGAGACUAGGACCUCAUAUCUUUAGAAUCAUCAAUAAACUGCAGCCCAUCCUAGUACAGAAUGGAAAGCGAUGUCGUGUUUAUGGACCAUGUAAAUGAACAUUCUGCCUGGUGGUAAGAGCUCCAAUUAAUUCAGGAACACUUCGCAAUUACUACUGAAAGUAAACUAUUUUUACUCUCGGGUUCAACAAUUCCCUCUAAUUAGUGCUAAGAAUUCAUCAUAGGAUAUUUUUAAUUAAUUUUUUCCAUGUAAUAUAUUCUGAAUUCAGUUCUCACUGUGUUCUUGACAAUGGGCGUUCAAGGAUUAUUUGUUGAUGUCGUUUAUAGAAGCUACAUUUGCAAACAGCCCACACAGCCUGGCAAUGGGGACCGGGUGAGUGUGCAAAAGGGCUUCCACACCACGGGAUGCUGUAUCAAGCAGAGUGAGACAGUCCUUUGAAGAAAGUCUUCAAGAAUGUGUUCCCAUUGUGAGGACGAAUGAAGAGAGAAGACAGGAGAGGAGAGGACGAGAGAACCUAGAAAUACCCCGGAGGACACAGAAGACCAGUGUGUUUCUAUAGAAGAAUGAAGCUAUUUCUGUACAGUAAGAACAACAACAAACGCUAAAGGACUGCAGCUCAUAUGACACAUCUGGAAUAUGAGGCCCGUGCUCCAGCUGCGUUCACUGGCACUGCACGGUGGGAGAGCAUGCAAGGUGUGGUGAGCACAACGCUCUCUCACACUGUGACUUCAGAACCAAGGCCGCAGUGAGCUCUCUCAGUGCCCCGCAGGUCCCGACCUCCCAGUAGUGCAUUGGGUGGGACCCAAGCCUUUAGCACACGGUCCUUUGGCAGACACCAACAGUAUAUAGCAAGGGAGAUGGCCACCUGUUUGGUAUGGCACCAUACCACAAUUGAUGUAGGUUCAUUGGAGGCAAACGCAACAAUAUCCUGGUGGCAGAAUUACCUACUACUGCAUCUGAUCAGGAAGACAGUACAUUCAAACCACUGAGUGGAGACUGGAGUUAGGCCAGCCAUAAACUAUCCUAAUGAAGACUAAUCGGGAACUACAAUUACUGUUGACUUCAGAAUGCAAACAUGAACUUUAGACAGCGAUCCCUAUCAGCCGGUGAGGCCGGGCACAGAUGCCGAUCACUGUUUUCUGCCGUUGCUUAGCAAUGGAAAAUGAACUGUUCCUGCCUCUUAUCACGGGGGGUGGAGAUAAAAGUUUGAAUUUUGCCCGGGAGGGACCCUCCAGAAUUAUCAUUAAAGAAAAUAUACGCAAAGAACAGAAGGGUCCCAUGCUGCCCUCUCCACAACAGAGUGUGGUGAUAUCCACUGGAAGGUCUUGUUGUCUCACAGAGGAACUUCCUCCUUCUGUAGGGAGGGUCUCCUUCUACAGUCCUUGUGCUGACCUCACCUGAACCUAUAGCGAGCUCAAAGUACUUCCACACCGAAGAUCCACCUUUGGGUUCCCCGUUUUGACCUGAAGCAUCCCAAGCUCUGCCUCGUGGUCAUGCUGCCUUCUCUCAGAUGGCUAGCAUGCUCCGAUGCCUCCCUCUAACAGCAGUAACCAUGACGUUUAGAGUUCUCCUUGAAGAUCUGCUUGGCAAUCUCCUCAUCUCCAAGAUGUCAUAUGAAGACGACACACUCAGCUUCCAGGGACUGGUGUUUGAUAUCCUGGUCAUCCUUCCAAACCAACUGAAGAGAAAGAGUGACGUAAGUGCAAACAUGCCCUUCACCCUCUCCCACAGGGCUUCCAUUAGAAGCUGCGGAUUGCCAGAGAGCCAGACAUGGAGGUUUGAAUGACUGUAACCCCAGUAAGUAGACAGGAGGGUGACAGGAAGCUGCCUUAGGACACGGAUGCUCAAUCCCAUGGAGGGUCGGCUGAAUAUGGUUUUGCUGACCCCCCCCUUGUACCCCACGACAGCAGCGAUAGGCAUCUACCUGUCUCCAACACCACUGCUACUGAGGGAGAAAAACAGGGUAUAAAGCCAUUACCCCACGGCAGCUCAUCUGUGAGCAUGCCUGCCGCCAGCUGCUCUUGGCUUGGCAGCACCCCUUCUGCUAAAGGUGGCUGGAAUUCCACUGCGUGCUCUCCCACACUUGGCUGUUAAUUGAAGCGCAAAGAUAACAUCAUCAAUCCAAAAGGGUCAUGAGUCCUUUUUGCCCUCUUGGCAAGUUAAUGUGGCCUAAUAUUUGUUUAAAGCCCACCUAUUCUUUUAAAAGACACUUUGUCCAGCGGAGUUUUGAUAAGUGCCUACCCCCCUCGCUCCUUUAAGCAAUAAAGUCAGAUUUUUUCCCCUUUUCUGUCCUGUGAGCAGCCAGCUUUUCUGAAGGAAGAUUGGCUUUAUAAAUGAGAAACAGAUCCUGCCCCAUAAAAGAUCUAAGACAUGGCUAUUGGGCCCAGACCUCUGCUGGGUGUGCUUUUAACUGCUAAGCCAUCUCUCCAGCCUAGUUUAAAAAAAUAAUUUCUGUCUAAAUCGUAUUUUUAUUAUUACAAAUAAGGGAGGGGAUCCAAAGGGAUCCACCACCACGCCCAACCCAAAACCCCUCCGCAAAUCUGAACAGAAGUGGUCAAAAUGACCCCAUUCCAAGACCCGUAGUCUGCAAAGAAAACCACACAUUUGAAGCAUUGAAGAGAUUUGUAAAGGUACAGACGCUGAACCCCAGCUCCGGAGAUCCUGAUUUAGCUGUUGUGAAGCAGAUCGGAGAGCAGUAUUUUUAAGAACACAUCCCCAGACAAUUCUAAUGGGCAGCUGGAGUUGGAAAGCACCAGACCAUUGAAAUAAAUUGCCACACAGCACAUCAUUCAUAAAUGUCUCUUAAAAACACAAUGCCGCCGAGUGAUCGGUACUUUAGAGCCACCGUGUCCCCACGCUGCCAGCCCAGUAGGUUCUCUCUAAUUUUUAUUGAAGUAUCACCGCCAGAAAGAGACACGUGCUCACUGCAUUCUCUGCAGCACUGCUGCUGAUAGCAAGAGAAUUUACAUUUUCAAUAUCUGUCAACGGGAGGGAUGGAGGCAUUGAACACGCUCCUGCAACGACCUGUCAUGCGGCAGCUAAAAUGAAUGAACUAGAUAUGCAACAGUCGAAGCCAGUGUCACCGGAUUCAGCGGUGAGCGAAAAGAAUCCAUUUCAGGGGGGGAAAAAAUUCUAGCGUGAUACUAUUUGUGCUGGAAGUGUUAAAAAAGGAAAGCUCUGAAUGGCUGGAGUGUGGUAGGAGGCAGACACCGAGGUGAAC
rnacentral:sRNA from 1 species